CCAGCCUGGCAGGGCCACCGCUGGGCCCUUCUGUCUGGCUGCACCUGGGUGUGCAAGUGAGCAUGCAUUCAUGGCCGAGUACGGGACCCUCCUCCAGGACCUGACCAACAACAUUACCCUUGAAGAUCUGGAGCAGCUCAAGUCAGCCUGCAAGGAGGACAUCCCAGUGAGAAGAGUGAGGAGAUCACUACCCGCAGUGCCUGGUUUAGCUUCCUGGAGAGCCACAAUAAGCUGGACAAAGACAGCCUCUCUUGUAUCGAGCACAUCUUUGAGAUCUCCUGCCGUCCUGACCUCCUCACUAUGGUGGUUGACUACAGAACCCAUGUUCUGAAGAUCUCUGAGGAAGAUGAGCUGGACACCAAGCUAACCCGUAUCCCCAGUGCCAAGAAGUACAAAGACAUUAUCCAGCAGCCCUCUGAGGAAGAGAUCAUCAAAUUGGCUCCUCCACCGAAGAAAGCCUGGGCAAGGAGGAGGAAGAGGAGGAAGGUUGGACCUUCAUCAGACUACUCUUUCUCCAUCCUCCAGGGGAGGGGCAAGAGCAGCCCUCCCCCAUCUACCCACUUACUAACCUGGUCCUAACCCCUUACUGUGUGCGUGUGUGUGUGUGUGUGUGCACACCCUCUGGCUGUCUGUCUACAUGUCUAGCUCAUCUAGUUCCUCCUCCUUGUGAGGGGAUGGGGGUCAGGGGCUGGGGGUGGUGGUGGGGCUCAGUUUCCCCACUUUAGAGGGAGUUGGGGGCUAUUUCUAUGCAAAUAGAAAUAGACACAUUCUCUUACUUCCCUUUCCUCCACUCUUCCCCCACCUCCAAGUGUGG